rnacentral:rRNA from 1 species
AUUGAACGCUGGCGGCAGGCCUAACACAUGCAAGUCGAGCGGAUGAAGGGAGCUUGCUCCUGGAUUCAGCGGCGGACGGGUGAGUAAUGCCUAGGAAUCUGCCUGGUAGUGGGGGAUAACGUCCGGAAACGGGCGCUAAUACCGCAUACGUCCUGAGGGAGAAAGUGGGGGAUCUUCGGACCUCACGCUAUCAGAUGAGCCUAGGUCGGAUUAGCUAGUUGGUGGGGUAAAGGCCUACCAAGGCGACGAUCCGUAACUGGUCUGAGAGGAUGAUCAGUCACACUGGAACUGAGACACGGUCCAGACUCCUACGGGAGGCAGCAGUGGGGAAUAUUGGACUAUGGGCGAAAGCCUGAUCCAGCCAUGCCGCGUGUGUGAAGAAGGUCUUCGGAUUGUAAAGCACUUUAAGUUGGGAGGAAGGGCAGUAAGUUAAUACCUUGCUGUUUUGACGUUACCAACAGAAUAAGCACCGGCUAACUUCGUA